rnacentral:sRNA from 1 species
AAAUCAUUUUUAAUAUUGCCACAUUCCUUCAAAGAAAGAAAUUCCCCGUUUCUUAACUUAUCAUCCAAGGUUCCAGGCUUUGAUCUGAAGAGACACUAUCUUACUGAUCAUCUGGUAGUUCGAACCAUAGGACAUCAAGGAUGUCGACAGGAUGAAUUUUGAUCUUUUCUUUCUUUUGACUGUCAGGUUCCUCCUCAAAGCCGAGUCUUGGCGGCUUUCGAAGUCACUUCUUAAAAAAAUAAUACAUGGGAAGGGCCAGAGCUCUUCAAAAAGUGGCUCUGCUACAUCCGAGAGAGAAGCCAAAGCGAGUUUACGACGGAGCAGAGUGGAACAGGUCAUGUUUGCGCGAAGCUAUGGAAGAUGGAGGGCGAGUUCUACAAGGGGAACUUCCGUCGCGUGUCAACAUUAUAAACC